UGGGGAAUUUUGGACAAUGGGCGAAAGCCUGAUCCAGCAAUGCCGCGUGUGUGAAGAAGGCCUUCGGGUUGUAAAGCACUUUUGUCCGGAAAGAAAUCCUUGGCUCUAAUACAGUCGGGGGAUGACGGUACCGGAAGAAUAAGCACCGGCUAACUACGUGCCAGCAGCCGCGGUAAUACGUAGGGUGCAAGCGUUAAUCGGAAUUACUGGGCGUAAAGCGUGCGCAGGCGGUUUGCUAAGACCGAUGUGAAAUCCCCGGGCUCAACCUGGGAACUGCAUUGGUGACUGGCAGGCUAGAGUAUGGCAGAGGGGGGUAGAAUUCCACGUGUAGCAGUGAAAUGCGUAGAGAUGUGGAGGAAUACCGAUGGCGAAGGCAGCCCCCUGGCAAGUACUGACGCUCAUGCACGAAAGCGUGGGGGAGCAAACAGGAUUAAUACCCUGGUAGUCCACGCCCUAAAANGAUGUCAACUAGUUGUUGGGGAUUCAUUUCCUUAGUAACGUAGCUAACGCGUGAAGUUGACCGCCU
rnacentral:rRNA from 1 species